rnacentral:tRNA from 1 species
CGGGGCGUGGCGCAGCCUGGUAGCGCACUUGCAUGGGGUGCAAGGGGUCGAGCGUUCGAAUCGCUCCGUCCCGACCA